CUAAUAAUUUUACAGUGGAUUUUGUUCAACCGGGCCCUACACUACACAAUCGUGUAGUUACGGGCCCGGUUCCCCAAGACAUAGAGAACAAAAUCAUUAGAAUUGAGAGAAGUCAGCUUUAGGUUGAAAAGGUCAAUUUUGAAUGAUAAAAUUAAAAACACCCUCGACUCUUUUGAUCAAAACUGAAUUACAUGCUAAAGAGGGGCUCGCAAACUACACAAUCGCUGAAAUCAUUUCAGGAAAGAACGAGAGGAAGCCACUCCAUUUUGAAAGUAUUUUCAUAACAAACUUUUUUGGAAUGUUGGAAAUUCCACUACUGCAAUUUCAAUCCAAGGUAUUAACCAAUUAUUGUAUCUCAUCAAGUGUUAUUCUUUCCUGUCAUUUCUAUACUGCAACCACAUGCCUUCUUAUUAAAGUUGAGCUCUGCCCACGUUGACGGGUCAUAUAAUCCCUCAACUUCAACUGUACCCUCAAUUACAAGCAAGAUUACAAGCAAGAUUUUGCUCUCUAGCAAAGCACUCGAGAGGCGAAAAAUCAAGUGCGCAACAGUCAACUGAGUCAAGAGAAACAUCUGGUACUGGUCUCUAUUUUUGAACAUCGCUCCAUAGUCUGCUACCAGAGAGGAAAUGCUUGACGAUGUGAAGAUUCCGUGUUUUGUCGAGGGAAUGGCCAACCCACUCGUCCACUUAAUUCAUGUAUUGUGAGCGGCCUUAUAUGCCUAGUGACUAUCGAGACCCCGAACCCUAACUGGGAACAUGGGGACGAGGAAUUGUUGUUGGACUAUAUGGCCAUGAUGUCGAGCUAGGCUCCACCGACCCCUAGCCAUGUGGUCCAGGUCUCAAACCACACCGCCAUCGCCGCACCCUUCGAAUCCACAUCACCCUGGAACAUUUCGGAUCGGCCAAACCCCCGACACCACCAGACAAAGACAAGGAGUCCAAGGAUUCCUCAAAGCGAUCCCCAGAAGCAAGCAGAGGAAUUGUUCCUCGUCGUGCCGUCAUCCGGCUUUCU